ACACUCCUGCGGGAGGCAGCAGUGGGGAAUUUUGGACAAUGGGCGCAAGCCUGAUCCAGCCAUGCCGCGUGCGGGAAGAAGGCCUUCGGGUUGUAAACCGCUUUUGUCAGGGAAGAAAAGGUUCUGGCUAAUACCUGGGACUCAUGACGGUACCUGAAGAAUAAGCACCGGCUAACUACGUGCCAGCAGCCGCGGUAAUACGUAGGGUGCAAGCGUUAAUCGGAAUUACUGGGCGUAAAGCGUGCGCAGGCGGUUAUGCAAGACAGAGGUGAAAUCCCCGGGCUCAACCUGGGAACUGCCUUUGUGACUGCAUGGCUAGAGUACGGUAGAGGGGGAUGGAAUUCCGCGUGUAGCAGUGAAAUGCGUAGAUAUGCGGAGGAACACCGAUGGCGAAGGCAAUCCCCUGGACCUGUACUGACGCUCAUGCACGAAAGCGUGGGGAGCAAACAGGAUUAGAAACCCCUGUAGUCCCAUGA
rnacentral:rRNA from 1 species